rnacentral:rRNA from 1 species
CCUACGGGUGGCAGCAGUAGGGAAUUUUCGUCAAUGGGCGCAAGCCUGAACGAGCAAUGCCGCGUGAACGAGGAAGGUCUUCGGAUCGUAAAGUUCUGUUGAAGGGGAAAAAGAGCGGAGAGAGGAAAUGAACUCCGAUUGAUAUUACCCUUCGAGGAAGUCACGGCUAACUACGUGCCAGCAGCCGCGGUAAUACGUAGGUGGCGAGCGUUAUCCGGAAUGGUGGGGCGUAAAGGGUGCGUAGGCGGCCUGCUAAGUCUGGAGUGAAAGGUACCGGCUCAACCGGUACAGGCUCUGGAAACUGGCGGGCUAGAGAGCAGGAGAGGGCGGUGGAACGCCAUGUGUAGCGGUAAAAUGCGUAGAUAUAUGGAAGAAAACCAGUGGCGAAGGCGGCCGCCUGGCCUGUUGACUGACGCUGAGGCACGAAAGCGUGGGGAGCAAAUAGGAUUAGAUACCCGAGUAGUC